rnacentral:rRNA from 1 species
AGACAUCUCCUGUACGUGGAAAGAACUUCGGUCAAGGAUGGACUCGCGGCCUAUCAGGUAGUUGGUGAGGUAACGGCUCACCAAGCCUACGACGGGUAGCCGGCCUGAGAGGGUGACCGGCCACACUGGGACUGAGACACGGCCCAGACUCCUACGGGAGGCAGCAGUGGGGAAUAUUGCACAAUGGGCGCAAGCCUGAUGCAGCAACGCCGCGUGAGGGAUGACGGCCUUCGGGUUGUAAACCUCUUUUAGUAGGGAAGAAGCGAAAGUGACGGUACCUGCAGAAAAAGCACCGGCUAACUACGUGCCAGCAGCCGCGGUAAUACGUAGGGUGCGAGCGUUGUCCGGAAUUAUUGGGCGUAAAGAGCUCGUAGGCGGUCUGUCGCGUCUGCUGUGAAAACCCGAGGCUCAACCUCGGGCCUGCAGUGGGUACGGGCAGACUAGAGUGCGGUAGGGGAGAAUGGAAUUCCUGGUGUAGCGGUGGAAUGCGCAGAUAUCAGGAGGAACACCGAUGGCGAAGGCAGUUCUCUGGGCCGUAACUGACGCUGAGGAGCGAAAGCGUGGGAGCGAACAGGAUUAGAUACCCUGGGUAGUCCACGCCGUAAACGUUGGGCGCUAGAUGUGGGGACCAUUCCACGGUUUCCGUGUCGCA